rnacentral:rRNA from 1 species
AUUGAACGCUGGCGGCAGGCCUAACACAUGCAAGUCGAACGGUAACAGGAAACAGCUUGCUGUUUCGCUGACGAGUGGCGGACGGGUGAGUAAUGUCUGGGAAACUGCCGGAUGGAGGGGGAUAACUACUGGAAACGGUAGCUAAUACCGCAUAACGUCGCAAGACCAAAGCGGGGGACCUUCGGGCCUCUUGCCAUCGGAUGUGCCCAGAUGGGAUUAGCUUGUCGGUGGGGUAACGGCUCGCCAAGGCGACGAUCCCUAGCUGGUCUGAGAGGAUGACCAGCCACACUGGAACUGAGACACGGUCCAGACUCCUACGGGAGGCAGCAGUGGGGAAUAUUGCACAAUGGGCGCAAGCCUGAUGCAGCCAUGCCGCGUGUAUGAAGAAGGCCUUCGGGUUGUAAAGUACUUUCAGCGGGGAGGAAGGGAGUAAAGUUAAUACCUUUACUCAUUGACGUUACCCGCAGAAGAAGCACCGGCUAACUCCGUGCCAGCAGCCGCCGUAA